CUGAGAUCAAAACUUCAGCGCACUAAAAUCAGUUCUUCCACAAAAAUCUUGAGCACACGAUCUCAUCUAUAAACCCUAAUAUCCAAAGGUAACAAAAUUAUCUUCUUCAAUCGAAUUCCUUCAAACCCUAAGAAUCGAACUCAUCUUCCUGCAAUCGAAUUUUGCAAUCGAAUCCCUAACCCAUAACCCAUAAAUUAUCUUCUCUCCACCAUAUACGCAUCAAUUAAUCUUUCACAAUUCGUACUCUUUUGUCACCGUGCUCGUCACAACGUUCGCGUUGUGCUGUCACAACUCAAACCGUCGUUAUUAAGAUUUGUGUUGUGUGUCUCUUGUGAAAGCAAAUCAACAAGAUAGAAGGGUUGCAACUCAUUUUUCCAAAGAAUUGAAGGUAAUUCAUUGAUAGAGUGAUUUUCCAACAAUUUAAUUAGUUGCUUUUGUGUUGAGUGUAUUUUGAACAUCUCUGUCAAAUAAUAUAAGUGUUGAUGCAGUAAAGAACCGCCUCAAUCUUGUAUUAAACAAGGUAACAAUGGAUAUAGUAGAUUUGCAUGACAUGAUAUAUAUUGAUAUAGCCUUUUUGUUAUAUUUGCAAUUAGUUGUAGAUCCUACGAUCAUUUUGUCUUUACUAAUUACUCCCCAUAAUUAAGGAAAAUAUUGUAGCUAAGGCAAUUCCUUUCUCAAUUGGGGCAACAAAUGGUCUUCCACUUUAGAGGUUACAGGAUAGUUCAUAGUAGUCUAUGAUAUAUUUUCUAUAUAUCUGCAUAUAUGAUAUUAUUGAAUGCACCUUUUUUUGUGAACUGUUAAGAUUUGACAUUUCAUCACUUGUCUCUUUCUGCCCUGCUGGGAGAAAACAUCUACAACUAUAAUUUUAGAGAGCUACUUGCCCAUCCUAUUUCUUUGUUUCAAGACAUUUGAAAGUCUUGUUAUGAUUAAGCCCUGCAUUUGAGGGUUGUGGAUUCAAAAUGACAUCAAUAUCUACUCAGCAACAGUUCUGAUAUGCCCAGCCACCAUCGAAGCCUAUUAGAGCAUUCACAUGGCAAGGUCAUUGAGAACUUAUAUUUUGGUUGGUGUCUCCUGGUAUUAAAGUUUAUCAUGCUUCUUUUUAAUUGUGAAACUUCUCAAUAUUACUCCCAAAGACAUGACUUUAAUUUUUUUAAAGAGUUACAAGCUUGUCUUAUAGCUUUCAAAGAAUUAGCUUGAUGUGGUGAAGGUCAAAUGACAUUUGAUGUAAUUCUGUAUGGGUAGUUCAAUGACAAUUUCCUAGAGGUUAAGAAGCUCUACAUCCAGAGGAAAGAUUAAAUCAAAUAGUCGAAAAAGAUCUAAUGACAGAGUGUCUUAGUUAAAUGAGAAGAAAUGGUCCACGUUGCACUCAUCUGUAGACAUUUUAGGUGACUCUGUUGAUUAUGUGUAAUUGCAUAUGCCUCUAAGCAUUAGUACUCAGGCACCACAUGAGCUAAACUAAGGCUUUUCUCUUGUACUAAAGAUCAACGAUUUAGAAACUGAGUGGUGUCAUUCAUACAUGCUAUAUAAUUUUGAGUUGUAUUUUGUU